rnacentral:rRNA from 1 species
UACGUAGGGCGCAAGCGUUGUCCGGAAUUAUUGGGCGUAAAGAGCUCGUAGGCGGCCUGUUGCGUCCGCUGUGAAAUCCCGGGGCUUAACCCCGGGCCUGCAGUGGAUACGGGCAGGCUGGAGGCAGGCAGGGGGAGAACGGAAUUCCCGGUGUAGCGGUGAAAUGCGCAGAUAUCGGGAGGAACACCGGUGGCGAAGGCGGUUCUCUGGGCCGAAAUUGACGCUGAGGAGCGAAAGCGUGGGGAGCAAACAGG